UAUUAUUAUUAUUAUUAAAAUGAAACAUGGGAGAAAGCAAAACAAAUAUUGGAAUAGUUCUCCUUCCCAACAUACAAAUGGAGAGAUCUGAGCAUCUACCCACAAGCCCAAAUAAUGGGUCCAUUCAUAAGACGGAGAGCGCGUUUCCCCCCAAUUCCCUUAAGCAGCUGCAAUUCCUUGCACCAUUUCCUAAUGGUCGUCCAACUUUUAGAAGUCGGUUGGGGAGGAUAACAGUGGGACGGAGGAGGUGAAAAAGCCCCGUCCGUCCGUCUGUCCGUCCGUCCAGGUGAAUGGCGGCUCUGUUCCACCCUCGGAGGGGGAAUUAGAGAGCCAAGCCAAGGACGUGUUUGGGGCCCCACGGGUGGCCCAUAAUUGGAGAAGUCACACCUUCAGGACUGGCAUGAAAGCCAAGUCCCAUUUGGUACCCGGGUGAUGGUGGACAUCUUAAUGAGACCAUUUGGUGCCCCUCCGAGAGUGUUGGGCCUUUGGAGACCCCUGCCAAGGUGUGAUGUUGGUGUGCAAAGCGUCAGCCCACACCUCUGAGAAAGAAGGAAAGAAAGAAAGAAAGAAAGAAAGAAAGAAAGGAAGGAAGAAAGAAAGAGGAGAAGAGCACACCAACAUUGGUCCACCUCUGACCAUCUCUUGUCCUUCAGAGCCAUGACCCUUUCCCAUACUCUCCGGAUGAAGAGGCAGCUUUGGAAUCCAGAUUCCAUCAAAGCAAUAUGGAAGUGUUUAAAGGAAAGGCCUGGCACAUUUUUGGAGCAGACGGUGCAAGGGUAGUCAGUCGAAGCCUGAACCUUGAAAUUACAUCCAUUCCCUGCCGAAGGAUAAGUAAAUAAACAGUUCACAGCUGCGAGGCCUAAACAGAGCGACACAUCGAUCUCUCCGAGGCGUGAUGGCUGAAGGAGUAAUUAAGUGUGAAACAUGAGCCCGGCCAUCAUGUCAGCGUGAGACCAAGACCCAUGGCAAGACCCCUCCGGGUUAACCCCUUGGGCGCCUUGGGGGGGAUUCCAGGGUCCUGGACACAUCAUGCUUGGCCUGCAGAAAUCAGAACGGGCCACUUGUUUGCAUUUGGGUGGAAAGGUCGGCAUGUCAACUUCACAAAGGUCCCUGAAGCCUGGCUGAUGGAGGGGAUGAUGGACAUCUGGAAGAAGACUCUGAUGCCAAUGUGACUUUGGCCCUGGGCUCACCAAAUAUGGUCACAGAUUGGUCAAUUGUGUUAAUGUGGGAUUUGUGUAUUGGUAGUGUUUAAAUCAAAUUUGUGUCUUGCCUGUAUUGCAUACUGAUUGCCUCAUCCAGAGUGUACUAUAGUCUGGAAAGAGUUAAUUGCUAAGAAGCUGUGAUGACCUUGACGUGUGGCUGGAACUGGGGAGUAUCCAGACACAAGUGUGUGUAUGCAUUGCUGAUUGCAUCAGUUCUGUUCUGUUCUGAGUUGAGUCAAGUCCUGUGUUCGUCUAUUGUCUGCAAGCCUGUUUGUCUUUAUUAUUACUGCUUACAGUAAAACUUUGUAUAUAGUUUUACUAUCGUCUCUGGGUGUCACUUCGUUCUACGUUCCACUGAUUCCAUCCAACUACUGCUGUGCUGCAAAAUACUCUGACAAAUUGCUCCGAUUCUUUGAGGCUACAACUCUUCAACUUCCCAAGAGAUUUCUUGUAGUCCUUUCCUGAGCUUUACAUAAAGUAUCUCUGUGUGUAGGUGCCAAAGGUCCCUGAAGCCUGGCUGAUGGAGGGGAUGAUGGACAUCUGGAAGAAGACUCUGAUGCCACUGUGGCUUUGGCCCUGGGCUCACCAAAAAUGGUCACGGUUUGGUCAAUUGCUCCAAUUCUUUGUGGCUACAACUCUUCAACUUCCCAAGGGAUUUCUUGUAGUACUUUCCUGGGCUUUACAUAAUGUAUCACAGUGUGAAGGUGCCUUCAAGUAGCCUGUUGACUUAUGGCAACCCCAUGCAUUGCAUAUUUUCCAAGUCAGAUGAUAGGAAAGAUAGAUAAGUAGAUGGAUGGAUGGAUGGAUGGAUAGACAGAGAUUGAUAAAUAAUAGGAAAGAUAGCUAGAUAGAUGAUAGGAAGGAUAGACAGAUAGAUAGAUAGAGAUAGAUGUAGAUGAUAGGAAAAAUAGCUAGCUAGCUAGAGAUAGAUCGAGGUGGAUAAUAGGAAAGUCAGAGAGAUAGAUGAUAGAUAGAUGAUAGAUGAUAGAUAGAUAGAUAGAUUAUACAUUGAUACAGGGAAGAUAGAUAGACAGAUUAAUAAUAGGAAUGAUAGAUAGAGAUAGAGAUAGAUAGAUUAUAGGAUAAAUAAAGAUAGAGAUAGAUUAAUGAUAGGAAAGAUAGAUAAAGAGAGAUAGAGAGAGAUGAUAGGAAAGAUAGAUAGAUCAAUAGAGAUCAAUAGAAGUAGAUAAUAGGAAAGUCAGAUAGAUGAUUGAUAGAUUGAUAUAGGGAAGAUAGAUAGACAGAUGAGAGGAAUGAUAGAGAUAGAUAAAUAGAUGCUAGGAUAGAUAGAGAUAGAUAAAUGAUAGGAAUGAUAGAGAGAAAGAGAGAGAGAGACGAUAGGAAAGAUAGAUCGAUAGAGAUAGAUAGAAGUAGAUAAUAGGAAAGUCAGAUAGAUAGAUGAUAGAUUGAUAUAGGCAAGAUAGACAGAUAGAUGAUAGGAACGAUAGGCAGAGAUAGAGAUAGAUAGAUAAAUGAUAGGAACGAUAGAAAGAGAGAGAGAGAGAGAGACGAUAGGAAAGGUAGAUAGAUUGAUAGAGAUAGAAGUAGAUAAUAGGAAAGUCAGAUAGACAGAUGAUAGAUAGAUAGAUAGAUGAUAGAUUGAUAUAGGGAAGAUAGACAGAUAGAUGAUAGGAACGAUAGAUAGAGAUAAAGAUAGAUAGAUGAUAGGAAAGAUAAAUAGAUGGAUGGACGGACAGAUAGACAGACAGACAGAUGAUAGAAAAGAUAGAUGAUAGAUAGAUAGAUCCUAUUCCAUAUUGAACAACCCAUGGCGGUCACAGAGAAAGUUAUUCCCAACUCUAGUUGACAAGGAAAAGUUGAUCAGUCAAAUGUAAUUAUUCCCAAAUCCUGAAGUUUUGUUGGAAGGCAGGUUUAGCACAAGAACCCCUCUCCAAAGAGGGUUAAAUUGGUCUAUGGGUUUUCCAAAAAAAGAAAAAAUUGACACUGAGCCAUUGUGCCUGGCCUGCCUUGCUCUUUAGGUGAGCCUUCCUGGUUGUUUUGGCAAAUCCUGAAGCGCCCGAAUGCCUUUCGAUGACACGCGGAAUGAGACGCUGCACAUCAUAAUUCCGGGGAAAGGGAUUUCCAUUAACACAUGGGGAAUAUUAAAGGCCAUUGACAAAUACGCACACGUAGAAAUACCGUCUCAGGGUAGGCAAGGUUUUUUGUUGUUGUUUUAAUUUAAAAAAGGAGGGUUGGACGGGGACGGAAUGGGUUGGAAGGGAUUGCCGGCCGCUGUGAGUUUCUGGAGAGGGAACAGAACACAGUGAAGGAGAAAAAGGAAAAUUCCAACCCUCCUCGUUGUGGAAAAAGAAAUACGAGAAGAAAAAUACUUUCCACUGAUACGACUUACAAUGCAAAUGUGUCCGUAUAUAUGACUUGCAUCCCAUUGAAAACCUAAUUGCUUUAUGGCUGCAACACUGAAUUAAUUUCAUCAGUGAAUAACGCAAAAAGAUUUUAAUGAAUUUAUCUUAUUAAUAAAAAUACAAUUUUCAUUGUCGACAAAAGUUCAGCUCUUUCUACACUUCUGAUUUUACGGAUUACACGUCUGUUGUGUUUUGAUCUCUGUUCCAUGCAUUUUAAUAUGUGUAUUUUAUAGAAGUAUGUUUUAAUAUGUGCUUUUUAAGGAGUGUAUUUCAUUAUGAUGAUGUAUUUUAACUAUAUUGUGCCUUAAGGAGAGGCGGGUAAUACAUUAAUAAUAAUAAUAAUAAUAAUAAUAAUAAUAAUAAUAAUAACUAUUAUUAUUACAUGAAUGUUUUCUUAUACUUUUUUUCUCUAGAAUCGGAGAACUAAAGAAUCCCAUAUUGGAUAAAUACACUUUAAAAAAAAUCUUUCUUAGUUUUAACAGAAUACAGUAGAGUCUCACUUAUCCAAGCUAAACGGGCCAGCAGAAACUUGGAUAAGCGAAUAUCUUGGAUAAUAAGGAUUAAGGAAAAUCUUAUUGAACAUCAAAUUAGGUUAUGAUUCUACAAAUUAAGCACCAAAACAUCACGUUAUACAACAAAUUGGACAGAAAAAGUAGUUCAAUAUGCAGUAAUGUUAUGCUGUAAUUACUAUAUUUGCGAAUUUAGCACCAAAAUAUCAUGAUAUAUUGAAAACAUUGACUACAAAAAUGCAUUGGAUAAUCCAGAACGUUGGAUAAGCGAGUCUUGGAUAAGUGAGACUCUACUGUAAUAAAAAGAAAAGUCCCAAAUUGGGUGAAAAAGAAAAGGAGAGAAAAAGUUAAGAGAAGAAAAGAAGGAAAUGAAAAAAGAAAGAAAGAAAGAAAGAAAGAAAGAGAAAAAAGGGUUAAAAGUGAAUAUAAAAAUGACUUCUCAGCAGUUUCUUCAAGGUAAAAUUUCCUUAGUUUCUCCUUGAAUUUUAACUCCUUUUUUUCUUAAAUACACCUUUAAAUGAAUUCGUGGAAUGGAUGGAAUAUUCAAUAUAGAACAGGCAAAAACAAAAUACGUCUUAAUAUGCAUGGAAAGAGAGGAAUUAUAGUUGGAGAAGAGCCGCCUUCUUUUCCAUUUGUUUUACAAUGGAUCAAAAUCACAAGUUUUACUAGCGAACAAUAUUUGUUUAAACGGUUCGAUGAUGUGUUUUACAGUAAGUCCGUGUUUUAAGCAUUUAAUCGGCAAUAAGAAGGUCGAAUCCAUGGGAAACGCUUGCAUUUUUUGCAAAGAGAAAGGAAAAUAUUCCCGGGUUUGCUCUGCAAAAGUUGCAAUGCCCCCUAAUGGACAAAGAGGGAACUUCUUGGCAAACUCCUUCCUGAUCCGUAUUUUCCCAGACUUUCGAUGCAUUAAAACAGAUUUACAAAACAACCAUUGAUCUGGAAGAAUAACAAAAUGCUGAGGUCGAGGCUUCAGAAAUAUUCGGUUGCAUGUUUGCACUUGAAUUUUUCACCCAAUGAUUGGUUUUAGUUAAAUUCUGCAGUUUUCCAUAUUGCGCAGAAUAUUCGUCCAUAUUCACAUCGGAAGCAGAAUAUUGUAAUCCAAGCAAGACAAAGGAAUAAACACCCCGAAAUAGUUAUUUUUACCCUUUCUUUAUUAUUCCUUUUCCUCCAAUUACUAUCAAGUAUAAUUACCUCAUAAUAAUAGUAAUAAUAGUAACGAUAUAAUAAUAUACAAUCUAAUAAUAGUAGGAAAAGCGAUAUACAUUGUUGUGACACAUAUCCGUAUUAUUCUUUUUCCCUCCAAUUGUUAUUGAGUAUAAUUACCUCAUAAUAAUAAUAAUGAUGAUGAUGAUAUAAUAAUAUAUAAUCUAAUAAUAGUAGGAAAAGAGAUAUACAUUGUUGUGACACAUAUGUGUAUUAUUCGAAAUCUGCAACUGAAAGAAACUGCAAUGAAACAGUGAGCAAAAAUAAAUAGAUGCAAAUAAUAUGCACGAGCUAACCUUAUAGAAGCAGCUUGCUCAGAAGAAGGAAUAAUAUUGGACUUAUUUACCCAAUGGCCAAGCAAAUCCCGCAAUGAAUUUUCCAUGGAAAUCUAUGGCUUGUGGUUUGGAAAACUCAAAUUGCCAGGGGUUUUUUUUCUCUUCCUGUAGUAAUUUCCCUUUGGGGUUGGUUAAUAAACAUCUGAAAUCGCCUUUUAUUUGUUAUUAUUUUUCCGAACGUAGUACUUGUACAAUUUUUCGAACAUAGUACUUAAUUUAUACAAUUUUUCAAAAUGGAUUUGUUUCCUUCUGUUUCUUUAAGUUGGUAUCAAAACUGUUCCUUUCUAGUCUGCUUUAAUUUACAUGGUUCCUGGUAUACACACACAUAUAUAUAAUAUAUAUCCAGUGGUUUUAAAUUCAUAGAGGAAGCCACUGGAUUUGAACAUGCGAAUCUGAAUUUUCAGUAUAUUUUGAAUAUUUUCUACACAAUCCUUUCCCUCUCAACUCAGAAAUAAUUCUUUCUUAUUUACUUCAAUAAAACCUUUUCCCAAGCAAAAAAAGUAUAGGAUGAUUGAUGAAAAUAUGUAGGAAAGUUUUACUUCAGCUUCAAUAUGACUACUGGAUUUAAUUUAGCAAAGGAAGGAAGGAAGGAAGGAAGGAAGGAAGGAAGGAAGGAAGGAAGGAAGAAAAUGAGGAAAGGAAAAAAGGAAGGAAGGAUAAAAGAAUGAAAGGAAAAAAGGAAGGAAGGAAAAAGAAAGGAAGGAAGGGAGAAGAAAGGAAUAAAGAAGGAAGGAAGAAGAAAGAAGGAAGGAAGAAAAGGAAGGAAGGAAAAAAGAAAGGAAGGGAAAAGAAAGGAAGGAAAAAAGGAAGGAAGGAAAAAGAAAGAAAGGAAAAAAGAAUGGAAGGAAGGAAGGAAAUAAGGGAAGGAAAAAACAAAGAAAGGAUGAAAGAAUGAAAGGAAAAAAGGAAGGAAGAAAAAAGAAAGGAAGGAAGGAAGAAGAAAGGAAUAAAAAGGAAGGAAGAAGAAGGAAGAAGAAAGGAAUGAAAAAGGAAAGAAGAAGGAGGAAGGAAGGAAAGGAAGGAAAGGAAGGAAAAAGGAAGGAAGGAAAAAGUAAGGAAGGAAGGAAUAAAAAGGAAGGAAGAAGUAGGAAGAAAAGGGAGGAAGAAAAAAGAAAGAAAGGAAAAAAGGAAGGAAGGAAAAAGGAAGUAAGAAGAAAGGAAUGAAAAAAGAAAGAAGAAGGAGGAAGGAAGGAAA